CAGUCGCCGCGGGAAUACGAAGGGGGCUAGCGUUGCUCGGAAUCACUGGGCGUAAAGGGUGCGUAGGCGGGUCUUUAAGUCAGGGGUGAAGUCCUGGAGCUCAACUCCAGAACUGCCUUUGAUACUGAAGAUCUUGAGUUCGGGAGAGGUGAGUGGAACUGCGAGUGUAGAGGUGAAAUUCGUAGAUAUUCGCAAGAACACCAGUGGCGAAGGCGGCUCACUGGCCCGAUACUGACGCUGAGGCACGAAAGCGUGGGGAGCAAACAGGAUUAGAUACCCGCGUAGUCCCUGUCUCUUAUAC
rnacentral:rRNA from 1 species